rnacentral:tRNA from 1 species
GUUGUGACUCAGUGGCAGAGCACUUGCCUAGCACAUAUGAGGCCCUGGGUUCGAUCCUCAACACCACA